GCCAGAAUGGUCUAGUGGUAUGAUUCUUGCUUUGGGUGCAAGAGGUCCUGGGUUCGAUUCCCAGUUCUGGCC
rnacentral:tRNA from 2 species